AUUGAACGCUGGCGGCAUGCCUUACACAUGCAAGUCGAACGGCAGCACGGGGCAACCUGGUGGCGAGUGGCGAACGGGUGAGUAAUGCAUCGGAACGUACCUUUCAGUGGGGGAUAACGUAGCGAAAGUUAAGCUAAUACAGCAUAUUCUGUGAGCAGGAAAGCAGGGGAUCGCAAGACCUUGUGCUGAUUGAGCGGCCGAUGUCAGAUUAGCUAGUUGGUGAGGUAAGGGCUCACCAAGGCGACGAUCUGUAGCGGGUCUGAGAGGAUGAUCCGCCACACUGGAACUGAGACACGGUCCAGACUCCUACGGGAGGCAGCAGUGGGGAAUUUUGGACAAUGGGGGCAACCCUGAUCCAGCCAUGCCGCGUGAGUGAAGAAGGCCUUCGGGUUGUAAAGCUCUUUCGGCCGGGAAGAAAUCGCACGGGCUAAUACCCUGUGUGGAUGACGGUACCGGAAUAAGAAGCACCGGCUAACUACGUGCCAGCAGCCGCGGUAACAC
rnacentral:rRNA from 1 species